UUUAGAAAACCACUUGCUCAACCUGUUAGUCAUGGGUUUUAUGACCUUUGGUACAUUCAGUUAGUUGUCUGGUUUGCCCCAGUCUUAGUGUCCUAACUCACUAGCCUGUGGCGCUGUAAUUGGAAGGUGCUGGAACCUUGGAACCGCGGAAGAGCCUUGUGGGAGCUCUUCCAACCAUUGGCCCAAGAAAGGAGUAUUGAGACACAGCCCUCCCUCUUUCUUUUCCUGUCCCAGCCAUGAGCUUUACUGCCUUCUGCCUGCCAUGAAUUGUUUCUCCUCCAUGAUGCCCUCUGCCAUGCCACCCUGUCUUGGAGCCAGCUAACUUUGGACUAAAACCUCUACAAUCUGAGCU
rnacentral:lncRNA from 1 species